UACAGAGGGGGCAAGCGUUAUUCGGAAUUAUUGGGCGUAAAGGGCGCGUAGGCGGCCAGGCAAGUGGAAGGUGAAAUCCCUCGGCUUAACCGAGGAACUGCCCUCCAAACUGCUUGGCUUGAGACCGGGAGAGGUGAGUGGAAUUCCAGGUGUAGCGGUGAAAUGCGUAGAUAUCGGGAGGAAUCCCUAUGGCGAAAGCAGGCUACUGGACCGCCACUGACUCUGAUCUGCGAAAGCUAGGGGAGCAAACAGG
rnacentral:rRNA from 1 species